rnacentral:rRNA from 1 species
AUACGGAGGAUCCGAGCGUUAUCCGGAUUUAUUGGGUUUAAAGGGUGCGCAGGCGGCCAUUUAAGUCAGCGGUUAAAUCGUGGGGCUCAACCCCAUUCUGCCGUUGAUACUGGGUGGCUUGAUUGCGGUCGAGGUUGGCGGAAUUCGUUGUGUAGCGGUGAAAUGCAUAGAUAUGACGAAGAACACCGAUUGCGUAGGCAGCUGACCAGACCGCAAAUGACGCUCAUGCACGAAAGUGCGGGGAUCGAACAGGAUUAGAUACCCUGGUAGUCCGCACAGUAAACGAUGAAUACUUGUUUUCGGCGAUAUAAUGUCGGAGGCAAAGCGAAAGCGAUAAGUAUUCCACCUGGGGAGUACGUACGCAAGUAUGAAACUCAAAUGAAUUGGCGGGG